UUUUUUUUUUUUAUGCAAAGAUCUUGAAUGAUAACUUGAAAAUCGGUCACAAGUCAUGGGCUGUCUGUGGGAGAAGCCAGCCCCAAAGAAAACCAUAAGAAAAUCAGGUGGGAGUCCUUUCUUCUGUGGGUAAUAUCCCUGGGCUUGAAGACUGCUAGGGAAGCAAAAUAGCUCCUGUUAGCCACCAGAGUCUAUUUUGUGUCUGAGAGAGGAGAAGGUCCUGGACUGACAGCCUCUUUUAUAUUCAGCACUCAUCUGGCCAACACCAUCACUCACUGUGAGCAGCUCUUACCUCUCACUUUUGGCAAAAAUUACUCAUUUAAGUCAAAAAGAAAAGUGCAGAGAGCCUCACACACGCAGGGAAGAUUUCCUCUAGGCUCUUAGCUCAGCACAGAACAACUGCCCAGAGCUGAGUGGUAUCUGUACUUCAGGAAAAAUACACAAUAUCUUGGGUACUGCUGGGCUUGAUGCCCAUCUCCACCUUUUUUUAGCAUAAUGUCACUGAGGAGUUCACAGUGCAGCAGAGUGUUCUGAAAUGUAGGCUGGAAAAUUGCACUUCUUGUUGCAUAUUUUGGGUUUUGCUGGAUAGGUGAACAGCUGGUUGCUUUUGAUAUGGAUUUGGACGAGUCUUUUUGAAAGCUUUAGCUGAAUCUAAGCAUUCACAGCUAUGUAAUUAUGGAGGUGACCAAGGAAUCAAACUCCACAGGUACAGAGUUCUUAAUUUUUUUCUGGUUUAGUAGCUUUUGUCCAUCUUCAAAAUCAGAAAUCUGUAAAUGUAGCAACCAACACAAGUUUCUGGUCAGAAAAUCUCUUGUUGUCAAGUGGACCUCAGCUGUCCGAGCUGUGGUGAAGUCUGGGUUUGCCAUCCCAAAAUCACACUUUUGGUUCUACUCCCUUUCAGCCAGCUUUAAUAAAUUUGCCCAAACUCUGUCUUCUGAAAUUUGUCUAUGGUAUUGUACUGCAACCCUGUGCUGCCCAGCAAAAACAUUUCCUGAGCCUUCUUAUGGCAUUUGGGACUGGAAAUUUCAAACUGAACAAACUGCUUGUGCUUGGACAGCAAAGCUUAAAUUCAAAUCACUUUUGAAGUCCUUUCUCCAAGUGCUUGGUGCCUUCUCAUGUUGGCUACAUGGAGAAAAGUGGGUUCCUGCAGAGGUAUAGUUCUAAACCCAGAGAUCUCGUCUACAGCCAUACUGAGGGCUUGCUGUAAUGACAUUCAACUAGAUUCUGUAUUAAACCACUGAAAAGCUGACAUUUGAACAUCUGCUAUUGCUAAGUAAAUAUUAUUAAUGAAUAAGUAGUUCCUCAAAGGCUUGUCAGUGCUUAUUCUCUGUACUUUUAUCAAACUUCUGUAUAUUUUUUUUCCUUUCUUUCUUCCUAUGAGAGGAAAAUAUCUUCCUUCCCUGAACGGUGGGUAAGAGAAAAGCUCUGAGGAAUCGCAUUAAUAACCUUGCUCUCUGCAUUGAAUGGACAAGAACUUCUCUGUGGUUCACAGUUUUCCCAAGAUAAUUUUCUGUUUGUUUUCCACAGUGCUAUCUAGUGAAUAAACAUGACUGUUCCCCACUUCCCCUCUCUCACAGCUCGCUGUAGGUGACCAGUCAGCCAGUUGCUGCCAGAUUAAUGACAGAAAACAGAUUUUAUUGUCCAAGUCAUCUGUGAAUGAUGGGACUCUCUGUUAAUUCCCAUGAAAGCUAACUAAUCUUCCAAUUGAAAUACUGCUUUUACAAUCCAGGCUGUCAUGGGGAGCAGAUUUUCUUUUUUUUUUUUUUUAAGAGCAAAAUAAACCACACACAGAAUCUUUUUAUUGAUGCGGGAAGGAGGGGGAAGGGCAGUUUCACCUCUUUUCUUGAUUUCUAUUCCACUGAGGACACUUAUAUUUGAUUGGAAAUGCAAAAGCCCAGGGUAAGCUAUUCUUUGCAUGGCCACAUGGAAGUCUCUGCUUUCUCCUUGUCAUCUUCAGCAACAGCAAAUGUAAAACUUACAGAGGUGGUAUGUUUUCUUAGUGAGAGACUGUGCAAAACUUACUCAAAUGUUGGACUCAAAGUUGGAACUAAGUGUUAUAUCAUUGGCAAAAAGUAUUACAAAAUAAUCUGUAAAAAUUUCUAAAAUAUUACUAAGCCAUCAAUCCAGUGACCUGCUACUAUUUAUCUUUAUAUUAUGUAUUACUUUUGUGGGAUGAAAUUCUAGAUAACUAUGUAUACAAAAAUAUACCUUUUGGAAUAUUACUCUGUUUCAAGAGUGAAUGUUUGAAAGAAAGAAAGUGCUGGCACACCAUUAAUGCAACUCAGACUUACAGGAAAUACAAUAUGUUUAUAUCCUUAUUUUUUUUCUAUAUUGUCAUCUUUAGGCAUUUUGUUUUAAUUUAAGGCAAAGAAAAUCAUAAUUUCCAACAGGUGUGGGAGGGGAUUUCAGGAAAUCUGGUGGAAUUAUUAGCCUUUUUUUUUUAAGCAUUUUUUUUUGAGAAGCAAAAAUCUUUUAUCAGUCACAGUGGAGUUUAUUUGUCUUCCAUGAGAAUAGUUCUAGCCACAAGGCUAUAAUGGAGUCCAGCUGUUUUCUCUGAAUCCAUCCAUCAGCAGCACAAGAAGGUGAAGAAGGCAAAUGGUGACUGCCUGAGAGGAGAAAGAGGGCAGCAGGGUGAGGCAUGGCUGCUUACCAUGGAGGAUCAGGAUCAGGAGCAGAGAAAUAUGGCACCUAGAGAUGAUCAAGGUCAAGCUCAGCAGAAGGCUCAGGUUACAACUUGAUGAUCCAAACCCAGCUCAGUUGUGGCUACAAUUUGUUGCUGCAAGACAAUACUGGCAGAAGAACAAAUGGAUCCCAUCAAUAAAUUCAGGCUGAUAAUUAGAAGAGACUUUUUACCCAUCUGGAAAAGAAGGCAGACUGCAGAAGGUUGUGGAACAGCCUUCAGAAGAAUAAUGGAAUAGAAUGGUUGAACUUUUUGAAGAUGAAGCUUGACAAUUUCUGCAUUAAAUUUUUCAGGAUAACCAUCUGCAACAAUGGGGGUGGGGGUAAAAUAAAAAAAUUUCUGCUGUGGUGUUCAUCCCUUUGUGCAAUAGGAAGGAAUGAGAUGCUGGUCCAUAAGGAUGAACAUCUGUGUUAUGGGGAAUGUGGAGGCCAGGAACAGGAUGGACAUGGAUCACUUCUCUCCACUAAGCACAGAUGAGCAGUUUCCCAUCCCAGGCCUGCUUUGCUGCAGUUGCAAGGAAUUUUCAUUGACAUCAGUGAAACAAGAAGACAUAAGCCAAGGAGUGGCUUCUAAGGGUGCCUAAAUUUAAAGCCGAUUUUGAAAGUCCUUUCUAAUGCUUAUACUGGAACUCCUAGAUGAAAAUGGCAAUUGGAUUAACAGAGUUAACAGGAGUCUCUUUAGUCUCCCCUUCCACAGAGGAAGGCUAUAUUUCCCAAAAUGAGGUCUGGUAGACUGGGGGGCUGUACUGGGUUGAGGGAAGUUGAAAUAGUUGGCAUUUGCUAUUCUGCCCCAAAAUGUACUCAUUGCCUAUUGGUUUUACUGCACAGUUCCUUCCUCAAAAUAGAUUUCAAAAGAGGGCAGGCAACUUCAUGGCAACUCAAUCCACUGACAGCUGCUGUUCAUUGCCCUGAAUACAACUUUUGGCUCAGGAACACUUAAGCUGAUGAUUAGGAAAAGUUAGAGGACGGGUAAGGCGUGAAUACGCUCACUAGCCGUGUACUGUAAUGCCUCUAAAGAUUCACUACUACCACUUAUCAGAACUGGGGCUCUAAAAUUGGUAGUCUACUCACUAUGAAGCCCCUAUGUUUGUUCCCGCUCUUCAAAUACAUUUUUCUCUCUGGGUUUUUUUUUGUUCCAAAAGAAAUAGAUUUGAAGAGUUUUGAAAAGUCAGUGUAUUUCAUUUUCAAAACCACAGUUUGUAUUACCAAGAGCCAUAAAGGAAUAUAGAUGAUUAUUCCUUUAAGGUGAAAAAAAACUCCUCAGGAGCUUUUGCAGGAAACUUCUCAAGAAAAGAAAUCCAAUGGAAAAAUCUAUUAAUAUUUUUUGUUGUUUAUACAAUUCAUUUAUUCCAUGGAAUACAUUGAGUUGCUAGGAGUUUAUGAUGUGAACUCUUCUUGUAAUUUUGCCAUAUAAAAUGGAGCAGUCCACCAUAAUCUUAGUUAUGCUAGUUCAACUAGGUAAUAAAUUCUCACUGAUUUUAUCACAUACUGUAAAUCUGAAUCUUUUAUUUGCCUAACAAUCUUGAUUAUUGACUAUCAUUAGAUCACUAAGUGUACUUAAAAUAUUGUGGCUAGUACCAUUUCUAUGAUAUUUUUAACAAUAGUGAAAUGUUACUGAAUCAGUUACUCUCUUGAACUCCUGCAUAUCACAGACUAUUACUUUUAACUAGGACUUCAAAAAGCUUGUUGUAGGCCAGAAUGUUUUUGUUCCUUUUCCCCUUCCUGACUGCUUGAAGCUCCUUAGGUGAUAGGAAACAAUGUAAUAUUUGUUCACACCCUUAAACCAUUAUUUGCUUCUACUUUCAGCUACUUUCUAGAAUGAUUUCCUAAAUAUAUAUUGCCUUUCCAAGUGAAGAGAUAUAUUUAAACUGAUUCAUUCAUUUGAAGGGGAUGCUUUUUUUGUAAAGAAAUAUCUUUACGUGGAAAAUUGUAGUGUGGGACUAAAUGUUUUUCUUUACAGCAGCAUAAACUUGGAGGGGCAAACCCUGAGAGCAGUCAUUUGUUUUCUCUGGGUUAAUGGCUUUCAGCUGGAUGUCUGUCUGCUGAAUAAUGACUGUACUGCUACAUCAACCAGUCUCUUCCACUGCAAAACAUGUGUUCGAUUAAUGGCAUUGACAUAUUGUAAGCUGGAAUGAGCCUCCCCACUUGAGUUGUUCAAACAUGAUACAUCCUACUAGAAUGAAAUUAAAUAAGGAGACGUGACAAAAGAGGAGGAUUCAAGGAAGAUGAUAUUGUGUUCUGAAAGUGCAGCAUCAAAGACACUUUGGUUUUUGACAUCACUUGUGCUGCUCAUUAUUUAAUCAUUCCCAUCCUGAGUAUUUAUUUUCUAAAGGGAAAAAUUGUUUUUCAUAUUUCAAGUCCUAUGGUUUUGAUCUUUAGUAUAUGGUUGUACUCCUGAGUGAUGUGGAAAAAAAAUAAACAGUAGAAACCUUGAAGCACUCUCUAGAAAUGCUGAGAGCAAAAUUUGAAAAGUACUCAAGCAGCGCAUAAAAUGUCACGUCCCUUUCCCAUUUAGUCAUUAGGAUUAAGUUAUCCAAGUCACAGAGACAAUCAUAGAAAAUAUCCUGGGUUUUAUCUUGUAGGUAUCACACAUGGGUGUAAAAUAAGCACCCUGGCUGUACCAUAACGUACACAGGUUUAUGAAAUAUCUUUGAUUUUUUUGUGAUUGCAGGUGGGAAAAUGCAUUGUAAGCAACUAAAAAGGAAACAAAUCGCCUAUAACAAUUCAAGGAUUGAGCUGAAUAGUUAUUGAUUUGAUUUUGCCUUUCACCUGCAUGAGGGAAGCUGAUUAUACUUUGAAGACUGAAACUGGUUUGUUUUGAUGUGAUAGAUUUCCAUUUAUCCAGGCUAGCUUUUCUAGGUCCUGUUUGUUGCUUUCCCAUCUGGCAGCCUCCUAGGUGGGCAGAGGUGCUCCAGGUGAUGUGAGCAGGGGCACUAAGUGGGAAUUGGUGAGGUCCCAUAUGAAAGUUCACUGGCCUCCCAGAACUGCAUUCCAGAAAUGACAAAAGCCAUCCAUCUUGUGGGUGCAGACCCUUUGGAUUUGCUGACAGUAAUAAUUCCACCCCUAACUCUCAAGUAACGCAUUAGCAUUAACAGUAAUUUUUGCCUCUAGACAGGCUCUGCAGUACAGCAUGACAGUUCCUACCCUGUAAUUGUAGGAUCCUCAUUAAUCAGAAAGAAUAUUAUGACAUUGUGAGCUCACAAGAAAGACAAUUGAUGACUGACAUAAUAAAGGCCUAAAUUAUGCUGCUUUGAUGAUUGGAGGUGCAAAUUUUUUUUUUCUCUUGUGAAAAUAGGAUUUAGCAGCUGUAUGAAAAAAUCUGUAUGAAAAAAAUCUGUAUAAUGAAAGUAGGAAGCAUUGAGCAGCAAGCAACACCAGCUUUAUCUAGAUGAGACCUUUAUUUCAAAAGGAAAUUAAAAUUUCAAAGCUGGUAGUGUUUUUUUAAGUGAUAAACCAGAAUUUAAAUCAGGAUCUCGAGGAAAAACUAUGUGAGAAGCUCCCUGCUGCAGCACUGUAUUUAGUAUUUUGCUGCUAUUACCCUUUAAAAUUAUAGAAAUUUAUAUAUUGUUUUGGCCAGCUUCCAAAAUGUAUUUUGACAUAUAUGAAAUGACUAAUACUGAAACACAUCUCAUAAAUUUAAUGCAAUUAUAUAUAGACCUAUAUUCAUUAGGAGCCAAAGACUGUAAAUUAUAAAUUAAGAAAAACAAAAAAAAGAAAAACUCUUAAAUCACACUUUCUUCUUCCACUGAAGGUAUGUGGAUGAAUACAUUCAGUUCCUAGAGUCAACCUGAAGGCUCUUUCAAUUAGCACUGCUUUGUGUGAAAGCAAUCCAAUGGGAACCCAGCAUCCCUUAAAGACAGAGGACUGGAGACUGGAGCGGUGUUGAGGAGGUGGUGGGCCCCAGAGGAGGGCCUUGUGUGUGGCUGUAUGUGAUGGGCUGAGCGUGUUCUGAAGUACUGUGAUUAACUGGGAAAUUCAUCAAAAUUGUGUUUUUUCUUCAGGGAUUCCUUUCUCCAGAACAAGCUGACUGCAAUAUUCAUGAUCUAAGUAAACAAUAACUUAGACAAGCAUUUAAGAUUCUGGGAGAGCCCCCAAAAGUCCCUCCUGAGCUGGGCUUCUCUCAUGCACUGGACUUAAAUUAUUUACUCCAGACCCAUGUCUAUCCAUAGGUAUUUACAUACGUUUUUAAGUAUAGCCACGACUCAGACAGAUUUCUUCUGGGUGCAGUACACUUACUCCCUCUUUUUUGGAAAAAAAAUGAUAGUUGAGGAGAAACAAGGGAAAAAUUCUUUCUGAGAAUUACCCCAUUUUUUCCCCAGAUUAAAUAUUCUGCAUGCUGCUCCCUUGACCAUUGUUUUUGUUUGCUUGAGAUUGUGACAUGUAGAACAGUCAAAAUUAGCCACUGAGCAUAACUGAUGACGAAAAUAGCAAUUUUAGUUAAAAAACAUUUCCUGAAAUAUUUUUUUGGUGGUCAUAAACCAAUGAUUUAAAACAAGUGCGUAUACAGUUUCUUUCAGGAAUGACUUCAGGAUAGUUCAUGAAAUUCUUGUUUUCUUCAUAGCUCAUCCCAUGGCUUAAUGAUUCUGUGCACGCUUGGCACUACCUAUGAUGCAAUAUGAGGAGAUAACAAAAAAUUUCAAUUUUCUUUAAAUUUAAGACUAGCCUGGGAUUCAGGGAUGAAUGCACAGUGGCAUUUUGUCUUCCUAUGACACAGAGGAGUGAUUAAAUAGGAACAGCUUAGCAGUGCCAGAGCAAGUUGGAGGUGUCCACUUUAGGAGCUGCUGGCUUUGCCCUGACUCUGCUUUUGAAGCCAAUCUCCCAGCUGCCCACCUCGCUGGGCUGGGUUUGCAGGGCGAGCAGCCCCAGAGGGUGCAGACUGACCCUUCCCACAAGCUUCACCCAGAAGCUCAGCUUCCUAUACUCAGGGGCCAGAAUGGUGUUAAAUUGACCUAAACUUCUCCUAAAAUUCAUGCAGUGCGUUUGUCAGGUUUUGAGCAUCAGAGAUUUUGGACUGUAAAUCUAUUCCCGUGGGGAUGUGCAGCUUGUAUCAAAGAUACAAUAUACUAUUUACAAAGAUAUUGCCUUUCCACUGAAAUCCAGCGACAUGUAGCAGUAUAUCAAAUCCUGCUGGGUGUCUUUGUAAAUACCAUUAAGAAAAUGUACUCAAUAUAUGAAUUUUUUUUUCCUAUACAACUGUAAUUUAUUUAUAUCUCAAAUUCUUGCAGUUGCAUUUUUGCUGCCUUCAGGACUGUACCAUCUGGAGUGAUCUUCAGUCUCAGCCGUUUAUUUAGCUCAAACAUUCGUUUGUUCUUGGGUGAGCGCUCCAGAAGUGCACAGCACUUGGGCUGUGGGACUUCUGUGCCUGUGUCAAUGAUCACAUACAGAUGGUAUGAAAACACAGGGAUCCAGCUGGUUCCCAUGGUAUCAAGACAAAAUUACAUGGAGUGGAGAAUUCCUUCUGAGAGACUAAAAACAUGAAGAUGUUUCUUUCAGUAUCAGUCACAGAUUUUUUUGUUAUAUUUCGCUUAUCCUAGAUAUUAAUGAAUCAGACUCUUGUGAGAGGCAGCCACUGUUGCUUUUUACAGUCCUUCUUGGAGGGAACUGCCAUGUUUCAUCACACUGACCUGGGGUCAAAGAAACAUAGGACAAAAAAAUGUUCAUACCUUAAAGAAUCUCAUGGCAAAGGCCUCAUAUUCAAAACUUUAUCUAGAAAGGUGGAUUUAAUGAAACAGUGAAAUCUAUUUGGAAGUUAUCAUUAAAAUCACAACAUAUUUUUAUUGAAUUUAUUGAAGUUUGAAAGAUACUUAAAAUUAAGUAUGCAUAUAUAUUUUAAAUAAUUAAAUCUCCAAUAUGAAAAAUUGUUUCUUUCAUUGAAAAUGAUGAAUUUUUCUUGUUGCUCAGCUGUGCAGACUUGCAUAAUGUCACUAAAAUAGCCCAAAUGAAAACUUACAAUGAUGCAGUUGUGUUGUUUUUUUUUUUUUUUUUUUAAUCUGUUAGUGGAAAUUGAUGUCCUCUGAUCUCUUUAAAUAUAUUGUAUGCUGUUUAAUGACCGGUAUUACAGAUGUCAGAGAGAGAUUCACCAAAAUGCUAAAAAUCAUACAAAGAGUGUAAGAAUUCAAGCAGGAAUUUUUCAUUUUGGUUGGUGGUAUCUGCAGCUGUACACAUCUGAUCUUCCUACUUGUCCUUACAAACACUGAAGUUAAAGCUAUAUUGCUAAAACAUGGAUUUAAAAUAUAAUUUUGUUUUUAGGGAUUGUACUUCUACAUGAUCAUGCUUUAGUAAUAUUAUUAUUUCAUUUUAUUCAAAUAUUGUGAUGUAUAAUGUUAAUUAAUUAAAUUAUAUUGUGUACAAUAAACAUACUAACAAUAAUAAUAUGCUUAAAAUAAUAGCUACUACAACAAAAAGAGAGAUAAAAGUAACAAUAAAAAAACCACCAGAAAGACUGCCCAACAGUUUUUCUCAGCAGCCAGACAAGUUCUCUUCUUCUAGGUCUUAUCAGCAGUAAAGAGAAUUUAAUGAAAACUUUUGCAGACUUACUGGUUGCAGGGAAGAAAUUUCUUCUAUUAUACACUGAAGAAUGAAAUCCAUUAAAUCUCUUUUAACUCCUGACUGCUCAGCAGCUUGGAUGGGUUGAAGAUUUCAAUCUACAUACACAGUACAGGUACUGUUCUUGGUUUCAUUAAAUGUUUCUUAUUUUCAAAAGACUCUGUCUACCUUGCCCAAAAUUUAAAAUUGGCUUUAUGAAAACCACUGUCCUGACAGAUAUGCAUCUGACAGGAAAGGGCAUCAUUUAAUAAUAAUUUCCAGUUAGGUAAGUCUAGAAAUACUAAUGGAGGUAAUUACUUGCCAAUUGCCCUUAUUAAAGCUUUAGUAUAUCAGUCUCCAUAAUUAGCCUCUCUGGAUGAGGACAGCAUCUGGCUCUUCAAAUCUCUUUCCAAGAAAGGCACUGAGGUAGAAGUCCAGGUUUCUUCAGACUCAUUAUUUUAUGCUGAACAUACACAUUUUUGAAAUCAUAGUAGGGCAAGUUUUUUCCUUGUUGUUUUACAGUUUUUCAGGUUUGUAUGGAUCUCCUGAUAAUUUAACUAGGAUAUAUUAGAUACCCUAGCCUAUUCUUACUUUCUUUUUUUUGUCCUAGUUCUUCCUUGUUCCCUGUCAUAGUAGGUUUUAUGACACAGAUCCCAAUUACAGCUAAUCGUAUUAAAAGCUCCAGUUAUUUGAAAACAUGUUAAUAGGCAAGGACUUAAAAAUAUAGAGAGUCCUAUCAGAACUCUGUGAAGUCCUUGCAGAGAUUUUUUUCUCAUUGGUCUAUCAUUUAAAAAAGAGAUCUAAUUCAAGAGCUUUUUGGAUAAUUCAAGCAAAAGAGCAGAUAAGUUUUUGGAAAUUUUUUUUUUUUUUUGAGCUCUAUGGAGGCCAAUAUCUGGCAACAGCAACUGGACAGAUGGGUCAAGCUUAACUGGCUUGUUCAUCACACUAAAGCAAUACAGAAAUAUUCAAACACUUCUCCUUUCAGCACGAGAAAGGGUUCCUAUAUUUUUACAACUCAGCAGAUUUGUGCAGUUUGUUUGCAAAUCCAGACUCCUCCAUUGUGUAUUUUAUCUUUCCACAGCAUAGCUAAGGACAAGAAAAUUAUCAAAUUUCUUGUCCUUAGCAAUGGCAGAAUUGGCAGUUAAUUUAGCACAAAACAUUGCAAUACAGAACUCGUUUGCAGAAACCUGCCUUAGAAGCACUGUGGGACAAUCACUGCCUUUUAGCCACAUAAUUACUGCUCCAGAAGCUUUAUCAUCUUGUUAAUAAUUUCUAUUGUCCUUCUAUUGGAAAUAUAUAUUUUUUGACAUGAAAAAUGUAUUUUAUGAAAUUUCAUAAUGGAGAUGGCACUUCUUCAUGUAAUAAAAGGUUUGGUAAUAUCAGGUCUUGCUGAAAUAGCUAAUUGUGUUGCAUUAUCAUAUUACAUUAACAGCACUUGGGAAUUUAAAUAAAGAACUCUUGUCCGUACAGCAGUGGCUUUUAUUCAGAAUUAGCAUGGUGUCAGCUGGAAUGCAUCUAAAUAGUUGAGCAUAAGUAAUUUUAUCAUCUUUUCUUUUUUUCUCUCCCCCUUCUCUGAUAUGACCUGGGUAGUGUCAUGAAAGAAUGGAUCCGAGAUCUGUCCGUCUGCUGCAGUUUGGAAAAGGAGUAAGAUAGAAGUGUUUUUCCAUAUUUUCAAUUUAAGUUCUACUUCCAGAUUGCCAAUCUGAAAGCACAUGACAUUUACUGAUGUAGUCUUAUCUAAAAGGUAAAAUUUAAAUGAACUGCUCCCAAAUUGUGUUUCUUUCUUUCAUGCCAUAUUCUAAAUGUAAAGUGUUGUAGAUUAGAAAUGUUUUGCAUAAACCACCCCCUCCCCCCACUUUCCUCCCCAGUUCUUUAAAACGUAAAUCCAUUUUGGGACAAUGAUACAGAAACAAAAAUCUUAGAUAAUGACAUCCAAGCUCAGUGAUAGGGAUAAAAAUAUAGUCAUUUUGAAGUUCUGAAACUCAUAAAAUUGCCACAUCUAGUUUAUUCUGCAUUCCCCAGAGCAUUAAGCAGUUUAGCAAAAAUCUAAUUUCCCACCAAAGAGCUCAAGGCAGUUAGUGCUCAGUUUGGUUCCAAAGAAUUAAACACACUGUUAUAAAUUGUGAUAGUCUGUGUAACUCUGUAGAUAAACCCAUUUUCCAGUAUAAGUGUACCAAGCAUGAAAAAAUAAGAGGCUGCUUUUGUAUGAGGGGUGAUUACAAUGGAAAUAAAGGUGAAA